rnacentral:rRNA from 1 species
CCUACGGGUGGCAGCAGUGAGGAAUAUUGGUCAAUGGACGAGAGUCUGAACCAGCCAAGUAGCGUGAAGGAUGACUGCCCUAUGGGUUGUAAACUUCUUUUAUAUGGGAAUAAAAUGUUCCACGUGUGGGAUUUUGUAUGUAACAUGUGAAUAAGGAUCGGCUAACUCCGGGCCAGCAGCCGCGGUAAUACGGAGGAUCCGAGCUUUAUCCGGAUUUAUUGGGUUUAAAGGGAGCGUAGGUGGAUUGUUAAGUCAGUUGUGAAAGUUUGCGGCUCAACCGUAAAAUUGCAGUUGAAACUGGCAGUCUUGAGUACAGUAGAGGUGGGCGGAAUUCGUGGUGUAGCGGUGAAAUGCUUAGAUAUCACGAAGAACCCCGAUUGCGAAGGCAGUUCACUGGACUGCAACUGACACUGAGGCUCGAAAGUGUGGGUAUCAAACAGGAUUAGAUACCCGAGUAGUC